UUAUGUCAAGAAAUACAUUAACAGCAUUCCUGCACUGGGUGAAUCAUUUUCAAUUUGUUUUGAAAACAUCUUGUUUAAACAGUGACUCAGUACAACAACAUCAACAUGAUGCAAAUAUUUUUAGAAGUUGGUGUUGUUUUCCCCAACAUUUUACAUGCAAUUUCCCUUUUUUUUAUGUCAUCAGUUAUACACACACCUGGUCUACACACACCUGGUCUUUCUUAUUAGACCCUUAUUAAUAAUGAAAAAAAUAGAGAUCAUAAGAAUUGCAUUUUGGUUUUUAUGAAGUACUGCUAGCUUAUGUGAUGCUAUUAUACAUAAAAGAUGUUUACAUAUAGUCCACCAGACAAAAUAAUAACUGAAUUUACACAAAUAAAAGAGUUCAAAAGUUUACAUACCAUUGAUUCUUAAUACUGUGUGUUUUUACCUGGAUAAACAACGACUGUAUGAUUUGUGAUAGUUGUUCAUGAGUCCCUUGUUUGUAUUUUUACCUACAUCUACAUGAGCUUCAAAUGAAAGACUGGAGUCAGUAAUCACUCCAAGGUCUUUUACUGCUACACAUGAUGAAGCACAAAGCCCAUCCAGAGUUACUGUGUGAUCAGAAAGAUUACUUCUAGCUGCAUGUGGUCCCAGUAGAAGUACUUCUGUCUUGUUGCGGCUGUGGCUCAGGUGGUAGAGCGAGUUGUCCACUAAUAGUAGGGUUGGCAGUUUGAUUCCCAGCCCACAUGCCUCCACAUGCUGUAGUGUCCUUGGGCAAGACACUCCCCAAUUAUGCCCAAGUUGCAUGGCAGCUCUGCAGCUAUUGGUAUGUGUGUGAGAAUGGGUGAAUGAGUCAGUAGGCCUAUAGUAAAGGCAUGCAGUGACGCUAAGGACUUCUGCAAUAUAUAUAUAGUGCAGGAAGUAAGUAAUGAAAUUUUCACCAGAUAUCAGCAUUAACUCGGGAAAUCCGCAAAUAUAAAGAAUUGACAACAUUAAAGUCCAUAAAUGAAGUUUUCUGUAAUAAAGAUGAAUGACACGGGGAAAAAAGUAUUGAACACACUAACUGGAAUGUAUUUAAUACUUAGUGGAGAAGCCUUUGUUUGUAAUGACGCUUCAAGACGCUGUAUGAAGAAAUUAAUGGGCCGCAAUAUUCAGGUGUUUGCCGGUGCUUUAUAUCUGAUUCAGCAGCUACACAAAACCUGUGGAUGGAAUACAGCAAAAGGGGUGAUGAGGCAGAACUUGGGGAAGAUGUACACAAUUCAUCUGGCUGCAUUCUGGACUAGGUCACAUGGUUUGCAGGGGAAGACCUGAUAAAGAAGGCAGUCUCACUCAACACAGAUACAGGGAAAUGGAGGAAGUCCAAUAUCGGCCAGUGUGUGUUAUCUUUCGAGAAAGGAAAACACUGCAUUCCAGCAUAAGAACCUUAUCCCAUCUGUGAAACAUAGGUGUGUGGGGUUUGGGCCUGUUUUGCUGCAUCUGGACCAGGACGACUUUCCAUCAUUGAUGGAACAAUGAACUCUGAAUUAUACCAGCAAACU